rnacentral:misc_RNA from 1 species
AACGCACAUUGCGCCUCCCGUUAAUGGGAGGCAUGCCUGUCUGAGCGUCAUUUAAAACCAUGACCCCUUUGGGUCGUAUUGGGACUCGCCUUCCGGCGUCUCCUCAAAGCCAUCGUGUCUAAAAGCGGACGAGAUCCAUUAGGACGGAACGUUUGAGGACCCUAAACCCUCUGACUUGACCUCAGAUCAGGUAGGACUACCGCCUGAACUUAA